AAUAGAUACCCGGGUAGUCCACGCUGUAAACGGUGGGUACUAGGUGUGGGGUCCAUUCCACGGGUUCCGCGCCGUAGCUAACGCUUUAAGUACCCCGCCUGGGGAGUACGGCCGCAAGGCUAAAACUCAAAGGAAUUGACGGGGCCCCGCACAAGCGGCGGAGCAUGCGGAUUAAUUCGAUGCAACGCGUAGAACCUUACCUGGGUUUGACAUGGAUCGGGAGUGCCCAGAGAUGGAUGUGCCUCUUUUGGGGUCGGUUCACAGGUGGUGCAUGGCUGUCGUCAGCUCGUGUCGUGAGAUGUUGGGUUAAGUCCCGCAACGAGCGCAACCCUUGUUCACUGUUGCCAGCACGUUAUGGUGGGGACUCAGUGGAGACCGCCGGGGUCAACUCGGAGGAAGGUGGGGAUGACGUCAAGUCAUCAUGCCCCUUAUGUCCAGGGCUUCACGCAUGCUACAAUGGCUGGUACAGAGAGUGGCGAGCCUGUGAGGGUGAGCGAAUCUCGGAAAGCCGGUCUCAGGUUCGGAUUGGGGUCUGC
rnacentral:rRNA from 1 species